AGAAGUUUAAUGUGAGUUCCUUUAGUAGGGUUCGGGGACUGUUCUAGAAUUUAUCAGGAGAAGAACAGAGGAAACAAGAACUCUGCCAAAAAGUGUGACCGAUGUGAUAGACUGCGAGCUAAGCUGGAUAGGACUGGAAAUGAAGGCAGUGGAAAGCUGGUGGGAGAAAGCAGAGGUGCCACCUGUGGACUCAAAAUCCUGAUAAGGCUGUGCUCCCAGCUGCUUUCCUCUGACACCCUUCCACCUUGAUGUUCUGCCUAACAUUAAGUCCCAAGGAAUGGAGCUGUCUGUUUAUGGACCAUGAGACCCCUGAAAUGGUGUGUCCCACAGGUAUUUCUGUGCAGUUCCCCUGGGCAUCCCCUUUGACGUGAGAUGGAGAAGCAACUCUGGUGUGAUCCUGUAGCAGCGUAGCCUCAGCCACAGAAAAUGCUGUUCUCCUACGUCUCCACCCCGGUCCCCCUCGGCUAAUGGUGUCACAGUGCAGCACAUCGGCCUUGCGUGCAGGACUAUGUGGGGGAAUUUUGAUAAACCUUUCUUCCCUCUCC